GGAAGCACUGACCUGGAAUACCAGAACGGAAUAAAUUCCUCUUUAUAAUUAAAUUAAAGCAUAAUGCAUUGCAUCAAAGCUGAAAUGAACUUGAACUGUGUCAAGCUGCACACCUGCACCACGUCAUUGACUGGUGAUUGUCAAAUCACCUGACACAUGGGCCCAGAGACUGCAAUGACUGACUGACCAACAACAACAGACAGGCUGUGGACUGAGAGCAGGGAAGAGCUGCAGCCUGUUCCAACCAGCUGGACCUGCAGCCUCAGCCGUCCACCUCAGUGCUGCCUGAGAAGAUGCAGACAGCUGUGGAGGAAACCAGCGUCUCUGUACUGGACCCAAACCCCUUCUUCAACCAACCACCUGCCCCUCAGCUACCCUAAAUCUACCCCUGGAGGACUGCUGAUGGUAGUGAAGAAAGGUGACUCUGAUGGAAGACACGUGGAUUCAAGUCUCCGUGGACUGAGAGCAGGGAGGUGUUGAAAUCCACAUCUCCUGACCUGGACUCAGUUGGUCCCUGCUUCUCAAUCGGCCGGACGCGCUUCCUCGUUACAGG